rnacentral:rRNA from 1 species
GACGAACGCUGGCGGCGUGCUUAACACAUGCCAGUCGAACGGAAAGGCCCUGCUUUUGUGGGGUGCUCGAGUGGCGAACGGGUGAGUAACACGUGAGUAACCUGCCCUUGACUUUGGGAAAACUUCAGGAAACUGGGGCUAAUACCGGAUAGGAGCUCCUGCUGCAUGGUGGGGGUUGGAAAGUUUCGGCGGUUGGGGAUGGACUCGCGGCUUAUCAGCUUGUUGGUGGGGUAGUGGCUUACCAAGGCUUUGACGGGUAGCCGGCCUGAGAGGGUGACCUGCCACAUUGGGACUGAGAUGCGACCCAGACUCCUACGGGAGGCAGCAGUGGGGAAUAUUGCACAAUGGGCGGAAGCCUGAUGCAGCAACGCCGCGUGCGGGAUGACGGCCUUCGGGUUGUAUACCGCUUUCGCCUGUGACGAAGCGUGAGUGACGGUAAUGGGUAAAGAAGCACCGGCUAACUACGUG